rnacentral:misc_RNA from 1 species
ACGCGCCCAUCAUAUCACUUGAGGUUUUUGAACAUUUUACAAAAAUUUUUAACUUUUCUCCAUGAUGUUAAAUCUUGAAUUGUUUGUUAUUGACAAACUUGUAUGGAGACUUAUUAAAGCUUCCAAUUAUACUACUAUGAGUUAGAGUUGGCAUCUGUUGGACAUGGGUUCUCCAGUUGGUUAGAUGCAUUAACAUUAUUUCUAUAGUGAACUGUAAAUACUUUGGAUGAUUAUUCUAAAAUAUUCUAAGUUCCAUAAGUAGA